rnacentral:sRNA from 1 species
UACCGCUUGGUAAAAAUUGACCGCAAAAGAGGCAUGGAUUAGUAGCAUGUCGAAAGUCCGUGAGGUUUUAGUAAG